AGAAAGUGAAGAGCAGCAAGCCUAAGUGCCUGUGCGUUCUCAUCAAAGAGAGCACUGAUCCCUCUCUGGGCCUCCCUGUCAACACCACUUUGGCACUUCAAAUGCCUUCCGCCUGCAACAUCGAUGCCAAAGUCUCUGAUUGCCCAAGUAAUUUCUCCUAUCCCAAAAUCUUUGAAUAAGUAUUGCUUGUCUUUGAAGUUUGAAUUAACACACCAGAUGUAUUAUUAUGUCUUGUUGGUCUGUGUUGUUCACAGCUUUACUGAGCCUUCCACCAGAUUCAGCAGACGCGAAGAUCUUUAAAGAAGCAGAUUCAAGUGCAGAGUCCUCCACAGAUUCCCCACCAGCUUCAACUUCAACUUCAUCUUCCUCCUCUGGGUCCAGUUCAAGUGCGGACUCAAAGGCAACUCCAACGAGCAAUGGUGGAGGAAAGUUGAAGUCGUUUGGGAGUGGAAGCUUGCUGAUGAUAAUGGCUUCAAUUGCAUGGAUGUUCAUCUCAACUGCCAAUUGAUCCUUCAUGGCUCACCUGAGGAGGCAAAGUUAGGAGUUUGGAGAGGGAACACUAGUAGUAGGUAAUUGAUUCGGGGUUUUCCAGUUUGUUCCCUUUCUACUUUCAUAAGAUAAUAAAAUAAGAACAGUUGAUCGGUUGAUCUGUCCUGUGAUGAUCUUUGUGAUGGAAUGAGAAGAUUAUAUAAUGCAAUCUAAUUGGUGAAUCAAUGCUUAAUUACUAAAAAGUUUUACUCUUAAAUUACAAGAACUAAAAAUGUAGAAUAUUUACAUAAUCACGUAAAUUAAUCGUACAUGAUUAAAUGAUACUAACAAUAGAAAAUCACUAUAAAGAAUAUAUCAAUUUGAGUCAUCACAAAAAAAAUAAGUGAUUGAUUGUUGCAACCAAGUCUUCCUAUCUAUGAUCUUGAUAACAACUAUGGUGACUUUAUGAGAAAAUAAAAAUACCCUUUAUCUAAAUUAGGGAGGGGACUUAGCAUAAUUCAAUAUUAGGUUCUCAUUGGGCCCUCCCAUAAUGGGCUUCAAUGAGACCCAUAGUCUACACUUACCACUCAACUGAACUUCUACUCAAAAGAUGCAAAACACAAUCCAAAUAUGACCACUAGUUAAUUGAGCUAAUUAUAUAAUAGACUAUCCAUUAACCCUUUUUUUUUUCCAAAUACAAAUUAUUUAAUUAAUGUUAGCCCAUAUAAAAAUUAUCAAUAAAAAAUUGAAAAGUGUAUGAUUAAUUAAUUUUUUGAAUAUAAUUAUGUAUUAUUUUACAAGCAAUAAAGAUAUUUCUAGGAAUUUUGCAUUGUCAUUAAACACUUUAUUCUUCACAAUUUCUAGAAAUUUUGUAUUACUUAGAACUAAUGUUUUCAAAAUCGGACCAGUCAUUAAACAAAAAAAGUUACUUGUUCAUGAUUCAUUUGUCGAAUCGGCGAUUGAACCGCGAUCAAAUCGAUGACAUCAUAGAUAUAUAUUUUAUAUAUUAUUAAAAUUAAUAAAUAAUUUACUUUUAAAUCAAAUAUUUAUUUAAAAUUUAAAAAUUAGAAUUUCAUUUGAAAAUCAACAAAAAUUUCAAUAAAUUAAAAUAUCAAUGUGCAAUAAAUAAACAAAAAAUGAAAGAAAAAAAAUCAUAAAUAUUAAAAUAUUAAACAUGACAUUAAAUUUAUAAUAAAAAAAUUAAGACAUUAAAUAUAAAACAUAAAAAUUAAAUUUAAAAAAAUAAAAUAAAAAUGGAAGUUUAAUCUGCAAGUGAAAGAGUUGGGGGAGGGAGGAAAGAGUAUUUUGCUGUGUGGACAAGGCAAGCGCAGGCGUUGACAACUGCUACUGGAGCUAGGGUGCUGUGAGGGUGAGUUGGUUGGAGGCAACGGGUAAAAAAGAUAUUUUAAUAGUCAUCAAAACGAUGUCAUUUUGAUGCUUAAAAAAAAAUAAAAAAAAUUGGUUGAACCGUUCGGUUCAAAGAGAACUAGCCGAUUCAUCCGAUUCAUCAGUUGAACUGUCAGUUCAAUCGGUCUGAUUCCAGUUCGACCAUAAUCCGGUCUAUUUCACUUGAUCGAAUCAGAACUGUGACUAGUUGAAACCAUGUUAGUGAGCAUAACAAUAAAAAGGCUUGCAUUUUGAUAUCAAGUGCAAUUUUCAUGGUAGUUAACUGAUUUAUUAUGCUUUGAAACACAUUCAAGUAAUCAGCUACCAAAUUUCCUUUUUUUAACUUCAUGUUCACUAACUUCUUUAGCAAAAACUUUCUUACCAACGAUCUGUUUAAAUAUUGACUUCAACUUCUAAGAGAGAUAAUGGCAUACACUAGUUUCAUUUGCCACAUGGUAAGAAGUUGUACUAGUUUAUUACAAGCAGUUGCCUUCUUUAAUCCUGUUCAUCUUCUUCUAUUCACGGCUUAAAGUAUAUAUCCUUAAGUCUACCUUCUUUAUAUUCAAGAGUGUCUAAUAGAUCUUUGAUCGUGAGAAAAUCUUUUAUGAUAGACUUUCAUAUAGGUUAAUUCAGAUUAUUAAUUAAGUUCUAUCAUUAACAUAGAGGUAGCUUCAAUUCAUUUCCAUUACUAUAAAAAUAUACCCUUGUUUCAACAAAAUUAAUCCCCUUAUCAUUACUCCAAAGCAAACAUAUUGUUGAUAUGUCGGUAUGCUAGAGCAAAUUAGAGUCCCUUUAACAGUUAUUUUAGGAAGUGUUUUUAAACUUUUUAACACUAUAAAUUUUUUAUUAAAAGAGUUAUUUUUUAAGUGUCAAAAAGAUUAAAAAUAAUUAUUAUAAUCACUAUAAAACGAGCUCCUAAUGAUCAAGGGUUUUGAUUCAAUCAUGUCAAUUAAAAGAACUUAUCACUAUCCCUAAAUGCCCAAAUUCUUCAAGACAAAAGUAGUGUGAACGCUCCCAAAUCCUCGUACCAGUGAUUGUGUGUGCAUGUUGGGCACUUGGCAUGUUGUGUUCUUUUUCAUGCAAACAUGUAGAAUUUUUUAAUUAAUUUCCUUAAUGUACACCAAGACCAAGAAAACAAGAAAAUUAAACUAAGAAAGACUAAAUCGGACAGGGUAACGGAUUGGUUUGCAACUGAUUCACUCAAGUUAAGUCAAAUGGAGGUUGGAAUAAUGUAGGUUGACUAAAUCGGCUUGCUUCAUAUGGUUUUUAAUAAAUUUCAUAUGAGAUUUUAGACUUAGAUGAUGAGAAAAUUUUAAAAUAAUACAAAUGUUACUCCCAUAAAUUUCAUAUUAAUAAUUACAAUAAAUAAUAAUGGCCAAAAUAAUUUUAAUAUUAAUGAUUAUAAUGAAUAAUAUAUAGUGGGUGAAUUUAUUUUAUAUUAGUAAUUGCAAUAAUAAUAAGAUGUUACAAUUUCAAAAUAACUUAAUAAGUAAAUUUUUUUAACCUUAUUAUUAUCAACUAAUAAAAAUGGAAUAGAAGUAAAAUAAAAUAAGAAAAAUUUAGGGAGUCAUUAAAACCAUUUAUUUUUGUUAUUUAAUAAAUCACAAUAAAUAUAAUAGGAAAAUUAUUAAAAGAAAAAAGUCAUUAAAAUCAUUCAUCUUCAUUACUCUGUUAGUCACAAUAGACCAUAUCAAUUUAAUAGAUAUCUCGCAUUUUUCUUUAGAACCCACCAACAUACAAAAUCAAUUUUCCAUAUAAAAUAAUAGAUAAUUAAAAAAAUGAUAUACAUCCAAAGAAAAAUAAAUAAAUAGGAUAAGUGCCAAUUUAAUCUAUCAAUAGUUAGAAUAAGAAUAAAAGUUAAAUGAGUUUGUGAUAUUAAAUAAGUGGAUGUUACACAAAUAGUAAUGAAGACUAAAUCGAAUGGUUUUAUGGUAUUAAAUAAAUGGAUGUUACACAUAAAAAUUUGAUAUUAAUAAUUGUAAUAAAUAAUAAGAGGAAGUGAUGUUAGAAUGAUAAAAAUAAUUUAGAAACUUAUAAAAUUAAGGAAAGAGAAAAACAAAUGAUAUAAUAGGGGUAUUUUAGGAAGGAAAAAAGUGUAAAACAUCUUGUAUUAUUAUAGAUAGAUAAUGACAUGAAUAAGAAAAUGUGAAAAGUGGGUUUUAACUCACUAAUAUGAAAAUAUUUGCAAAAAAAUAACCUCAAAUUUUUUCAAUCAGUAUUAUCUUUAUUUAUUUAAAAAUAAUUUGAAAUACAUGUAAUUUUUAAUAAAUUUGUCAUGUUAUUUUACGUAAAUGUUUCCCUUCCUUUUAGAUAAAUUAUAAAUUUUAUUUCCAACAAAACUCAAACUUAUCUACGGUCUAUCAGGGUUUCACUACUUCUAACAUCCAUACUCUUCAAACUAUCUUACUUUUACUGUAAGAUGUUUGUUUAUAAAGAGAAAAAAAAAAUCUAACUUUUCUCACGGGUAUUUGCUUUUAAAGAAAAAAAAUCCCAAAUAAUAAUAAUAAUAAUAAUAAUAAUAUCUAAAAAAAAGAAAAAUAUUUAUGUGGAAGACUCUUGUUGUUAACUGAUGUUGAUAAUAUAACAAGUAAAAAGAGCAAUUUAGGGAAUAAUUAAAUGAAUCAUUUAAAAGUACAUAUAUUUAGAAUUAUUUUUAAAUAGAUGAUGAUAAUACAUUUAAAAAAUUUGAGAUUUUUUUUCAUAUAUUUUUACAAUAGCAAGUCAGCACCCACUUUUUCAGAAAAUUUUAAAAUUCUAAUUUAAGGAACUAACAAUAAAAAAUAUUUUGUUUUAGAUGAGUUCAAUUUCAACCUUACAAAUAAUAAAAAUACUUCUGUGGACCCCGCAUUUCGAUUGCUAGAUGCGUUUCCCACUCGAAUGGCGAGCUCGAUUUUUAUUUGAAAAGUUGAUUUUUAUUGAUUAUUUGAAAAUGACUUGGAGUCGCCACUUAUUUUUGUUUUAUUUUUAAAGGGUAAACAAAAUAAGAAAGAAAAACCCUAAGUGUGACUCCUUAUUUUGGAAAAGGCGGUCUAUGAAAAACCGGAUCGGGUUCGGGGGUCAGGUUACUUAUCGGGAAGGUACGGUAAAGACCGUAGCACCCCUUUAAGUCCCUAAAGUCGAGUCUCUACUAAUAAAAUGAAGUAAUCGUGGCAAUCAAUAAGAACAUCAAUGAAUACUCAAAUCGAAUCAUGCACAUAUGAGAAACAGAAUAUGUAUAGAAAAUAACCAGAAUAUGAGUGGAUGCGUACCUGGGUAGCAAACGGCAACGCGUUAUCAUGGAACAGGGUUAGUGAAUUAACACAGAAUGAUCAUAUGAUAUAGCAUACAUGUCACUAAACUAAAUACAAAAUCACCAAUAGCACAUGUGUCAUUUCACUCAAUUUUAUUUUAAAGAAAAUUUAUUUGAUGUUGGGCCCCCACCAAAACCCGUUUAUUUUGCAUGAACCAAAUUCGUAAAUUCCAUCAUUAGGAAUUACAAAAUUUGAUUCUUGCUUAUUUUAAAACAUUUUAAAAAAACAAAAGAGAUGUGAAAAUGGUUUGCCAAGAAGAAGAGUGGCAGCAAAAUUUUAUUGGAAAAAUGGAUUUUUGGAACCUAAGAAAAAAACUAAGGAUGAAAAAUGGAUGAGUUUGAAUUAUUUGAAAAUCGACAUUAAAAAAUUAUUUGCAAGAAAGGUGUCAGGAAAUUAUUUUUUAAACCAAAAGAUUGAGGGAAUGGGAGGUGACACGUGGCCCAAAAGGUAGCCAUGCAGCUGGGUGUACGUAUGACUGGUCACCAGGUCAGUCAAUGGCUUUGUGAGACUCUACUGAACAUUGGGAUCCCAUCCUUCAUGGCCUUCAAGAUCAUCACUGCCUUCACCAUCAAUACCAGUCAUCCUCUAUCUGCCAUGUGUACAAUUCCCACCUCUGCUGAAAUCUCAGAUCUUCACUCAUGUUAGUACUUGGGUAAUCACAACUGUGUAACUAUGUGCUCAAUCCCCGGGAGAGUCCGACCAUAAAUGACUAGACCCACUUAUCAUCAGAGUUUCAGCUGCUUGUUUGGAGAAUGAGAUCAGUUUGAUAGAAGGGUUUCCACUGCAACUGCACCUUGAACUUGUUUGAAAGAUUGUACCAUGAUUCUAGCAUUCAUUGCUUCGUCUAUUCUCGGAUCUUUUGGCAAAACUGGAGCUUUUGGGAUAAUAUCAAUCCAAACCGAAACAAAACCAGCAACAGUACAAUAUAAGGAAUGCUUUCCCUUCUUUUCUGCUAGGAAGCCUUUGUACACAGCCAAAUUUACCUUUGCCCAAAAGAUUCUGUGAUUAAAACCCAUCUAUAGCCUCUGCAAGUUCUUCAUAUUGGAACCGUAUUCUCGAAUUGCUGUCCACUAAGAUAUUUUCUUCUAGUUGAGUGGAGACUACCAGGUAUGGAGGGUGUCCAGGCUAGGAACCAGUCAAAACUAACCACAUAUACACCAAGGUGGCCAGGCACUGUGAACGCCAAGCACGUGGGAGAUGGAACUAAAGGGUAAAUGAUGAAUGAUGGGCGGUAAAGGUGAUAAGUGGGAUGGUGGUACAAUGUAGGGAUAUAACGGGUAUGAGGGGUAUGGCAAUAUAUAUGUAGGAGUUGGUGAUAUGCAGGGGUAUGGAAGGGUAGUGGACAUGAGGAUAGGAAUUGUGAAAGUGAGAGGAAGAUGUCGGCAUGAAACGGGUAAUGGAAAGGGUUAAAUGGGUUUAGAAAGAAGUGGUGGCAUGCAUGGGCAUGGAAAUGGGUAUAUGCAUGGGUAUGAUAGCAAUGGGUGGGGACAUGAUGACGAACUGUAGGCAUGAUAUGGUAAUGGGAGUGUGAAGGAUAGCCUUGGAUGCAUGCAUAAUAAUCACGUACACAUGGGACCCAUGAGCAGGUAAGAAUUUUGGAUUUUAAUGGAGACUUUUGAGGGAACUUAGGGUGACGUGUUGCUCUUUAUAUUCUUUAACAUUUCUAAGGCCUUGUCAGUCAACCCAACUUUCAGAUACCCACUCGCUGUAGCUGAAUACAUAUUCUAAUCAACAGAAAUAUGGGGAUUCUCCCCCAUCCGAUUCAAGAACCCUUCCAUUGCAGAAAUAUCAGAUGCCACAACAUAAGCAAACACGUGAUUCCUUACUGUGAAUGCAUCACAUGGAAUUGCUUUCCUUUGCAUUUCUUGAAUCAAUGCCUCAGUCUUGCCAUGAUUUCCAGUUUGAGAGUAAACGUGGAUCAACAUAUUGUAAGGAAAAGAUGAUAUUGCAAAGUUCAUCUUUCUCAUUUUCUGCAUAGUGGCUUCUGCUUUCUACACAGAUUUCUCUUACACACAGCCACUGAGAAGAGCACCAUACGCACUGGAAGUCUCUGCCUACCCUUGUCCAUGAAUCAUGAGGAUCAAGUCCAAUCUGAUUGCUGCCUCACUCGGAGUUGAUGUGCAAUACCGACAGUCAGUCAUACAUGGAGAUAUCUCUUGGGCAUGAUGGAAGCGUCUGAACUCUUUCAUGAUCCGAACAAGUGAUUGGAGUUGGGGUUUGCUAACUAUUUACCCUUCUUCUGUGCAUUGAUUGAGGAGUGGUGAAAUCGAAGCCUUAGGGUAAAAAAAUUAAACGAUAUCCUUGCCCUUGGGAAAUUGUCACUCCUCCAACAACACAAACGCGACAAAAUCAUGGAUCUGAUCCCCAGAAUACGUCCUCUACCACCAUGGACAACUUGAGAAUCCAGACAUAUUAAAGCCAAUACCCUCUUCUUCACACAUAAGGAGCAACCUCCUCAUGAUCAAAUACUAGGAACAGAGGAGGGUUGCAAAACAGAGCACAGAGCAAGAACAAAAAAGACUCAUGAAAGCUGCGUUUCAUAUUUCACUUAACGAGCUUAUGACGCAGAGGUGGAUAAAAAAAACAAAAUGGGAUUUCAAAUAGUUUGCAAAGAGAUCGAAAUUAAAACAAGAUGACCGACAACUCAUAAAACAGAGUCCAGAAGACAAGUUAGAAACCAAAUGCAGGAUGAGGGUGAGCGAACACAAAUAUUGAAAGAAAAUAGGUAGGAUUCUCACCUGCUUGCAUAGAUAUGUCAAGAUAGAAACUCAUGAUAACCAGUAAACAUAAUAAAAUGCCAUGAACACAAAAGAAACCUCAGAUUACAUGAAUAAUACCUGUAUCACCCUCUUCCAAGGCUAUUCCUCCGUGUCUUUCUUCAAACAGCUUUCAUGAACUCUCUCUAACCAGCUGAAAAUAUCCCUCCACUGCUCAUUUACCCUCUCAAAGAUCCCUGCUCCAGACUAUGGAUCCUUCCUUACCCUCAGACUCUUUUUUUCUCAAAAAUAUCUCUCAAACCAACCUCAAAACCACCCUCCAGCUCCAGAAAUAUGCUCUGUCUCUUCUUCUCGCUUGCCUCCCUCGCUUCUCAAGCUAAACUAUCCUCCUCUCCAGCUCCAGGAACCUCCCCCCUUCCCCAAAGCUCUCUGCCCCUCUCCCAAAUAUCUCUAACGGCCUGCCCAGAGCUCCUGCCAACAGCCCAGGUACCUCCCCUCCAC
rnacentral:lncRNA from 1 species